ACUGACCAUAGAGACACUUCAGGUAUGGGUAGUGGUGUCACAUGUGUCCGUAGAUGGUAGAGAGGAGAGAGGCUAUGUCUACUCUUCCAUGUCCUGAACUAUGAACAUCUAGAUUAGUAGCCCAACAUU